UACAGAGGUCUCAAGCGUUGUUCGGAUUCAUUGGGCGUAAAGGGUGCGUAGGCGGCGCGGUAAGUCGGGUGUGAAAUUUCGGAGCUUAACUCCGAAACUGCAUUUGAUACUGGCGUGCUUGAGGACUGGAGAGGAGACUGGAAUUCAUGGUGUAGCAGUGAAAUGCGUAGAGAUCAUGAGGAAGACCAGUGGCGAAGGCGGGUCUCUGGACAGUUCCUGACACUGAGGCACGAAGGCCAGGGGAGCAAACGGG
rnacentral:rRNA from 1 species